GCUGUAGUAGUUUAAUGGCAGAACACUUCCGCGGUAAGGAGUAGAAAAGAGUUCAAAUCUCUUCUACAGCACUA
rnacentral:tRNA from 1 species